rnacentral:tRNA from 1 species
GGAGGCUUCGCCUAGUCUGGUCUAUGGCGCCGCACUGCUAAUGCGGUUUGGGUUUUAAAGCCCAUCGAGGGUUCAAAUCCCUCAGCCUCCG